rnacentral:rRNA from 1 species
UACGGGGGGGGCAAGCGUUGUUCGGAAUUACUGGGCGUAAAGGGCUCGUAGGCGGCCAACUAAGUCAGACGUGAAAUCCCUCGGCUUAACCGGGGAACUGCGUCCGAUACUGGAUGGCUUGAGGUUGGGAGAGGGAUGCGGAAUUCCAGGUGUAGCGGUGAAAUGCGUAGAUAUCUGGAGGAACACCGGUGGCGAAGGCGGCAUCCUGGACCAAUUCUGACGCUGAGUGAGCGAAAGCCAGGGGAGCAAACGGG